GGAAUAUUGGACAAUGGGCGAAAGCCUGAUCCAGCAAUGCCGCGUGAGUGAUGAAGGCCUUAGAGUUGUAAAGCUCUUUUACCAGGGAUGAUAAUGACAGUACCUGCGGAAGAAGCCCCGGCUAACUCCGUGCCAGCAGCCGCGGUAAUACGGGGGGGGCAAGCGUUGUUCGGAAUUACUGGGCGUAAAGGGCGCGUAGGCGGUUGGAUAAGUCAGCUGUGAAAACCACGGGCUUAACUCGUGGCCUGCAGUUGAAACUGUCUGGCUUGAGUGUGGGAGAGGAGAGUGGAAUUCCUGGUGUAGCGGUGAAAUGCGUAGAUAUCAGGAGGAACACCGGUGGCGAAGGCGGCUCUCUGGACCACAACUGACGCUGAGGCGCGAAAGCUAGGGGAGCAAAC
rnacentral:rRNA from 1 species